GAGCAGCUGGGAACAAACAAGCAUCCACCCAUCCAUUCCUUAGAGAAGGCCCCUGACUGGACUCAAGAUGCCCCCGCACCCCGAGAUCCCUCGCUGGAGACUGCAGGAAGAUUCCCAGAGGGCCACAGUGUCCACAGACUCUGCCCAGAAGGCGACCAGGACUCCACCGGGGGCCUGGGCCAUGCCCAGAGAGGCUUCAGGCCCCUGACUGAACUCAGUAUGUCCCCGGACCCCGGGAUGCCGCGCUGGCGGCUGCAGGAAGAUUCCCAGAGGGCCACAUAGGGCACAGAGGGCCACAGUGCGCCCCAGUGUCCACAGACUCUGCCCAGACAGCA